GACGAACGCUGGCGGCGUGCUUAACACAUGCAAGUCGAACGGUGAAGCUCCAGCUUGCUGGCGUGGAUCAUUGGCGAACGGGUGAGUAACACGUGAGCAACCUGCCCCUGACUCUGGAAUAAGCGCUGGAAACGGCGUCUAAAACUGGAUACGAGAAGUGUCCGCGUGGGCACUUACUGUAAAGUUUUUCUGUUGUGGAUGGUCUCGCGGCCUAUCAGCUUGUUGGUGAGGUAAUGGCUCACCAAGGCGACGACGGUUAGCCGGCCUGAGAGGGCGACCGGCCACACUGGGACUGAGACACGGACCAGACUCCUACGGGAGGCAGCAGUGGAGAAUAUUGCACAAUGGGCGAAAGCCUGAUGCAGCGACGCCGCGUGAGGGAUGACGGCCUUCGGGUUGUAAACCUCUUUCAGCAGGGAAGAAGCGAAAGUGACGGUACCUGCAGAAGAAGCACCGGCUAACUACGUG
rnacentral:rRNA from 1 species